rnacentral:rRNA from 1 species
UAAGUUUCAACAACGGAUCUCUUGGCUCUCGCAUCGAUGAAGAACGCAGCGAAAUGCGAUAAGUAAUGUGAAUUGCAGAAUUCAGUGAAUCAUCGAAUCUUUGAACGCA